rnacentral:rRNA from 1 species
AUGAACGCUAGCUACAGGCUUAACACAUGCAAGUCGAGGGGCAGCAUUUUAGUUUGCUUGCAAACUAAAGAUGGCGACCGGCGCACGGGUGAGUAACACGUAUCCAACCUGCCGAUAACUCGGGGAUAGCCUUUCGAAAGAAAGAUUAAUAUCCGAUAGUAUAUUAAAACCGCAUGGUUUUACUAUUAAAGAAUUUCGGUUAUCGAUGGGGAUGCGUUCCAUUAGUUUGUUGGCGGGGUAACGGCCCACCAAGACUACGAUGGAUAGGGGUUCUGAGAGGAAGGUCCCCCACAUUGGAACUGAGACACGGUCCAAACUCCUACGGGAGGCAGCAGUGAGGAAUAUUGGUCAAUGGACGAGAGUCUGAACCAGCCAAGUAGCGUGAAGGAUGACUGCCCUAUGGGUUGUAAACUUCUUUUAUAUGGGAAUAAAGUAUUCCACGUGUGGGAUUUUGUAUGUACCAUAUGAAUAAGGAUCGGCUAACUCCGUGCCAGCAGCCGCGGUAAUACGGAGGAUCCGAGCGUUAUCCGGAUUUAUUGGGUUUAAAGGGAGCGUAGGUGGAUUGUUAAGUCAGUUGUGAAAGUUUGCGGCUCAACCGUAAAAUUGCAGUUGAAACUGGCAGUCUUGAGUACAGUAGAGGUGGGCGGAAUUCGUGGUGUAGCGGUGAAAUGCUUAGAUAUCACGAAGAACUCCGAUUGCGAAGGCAGCUCACUAGACUGCAACUGACACUGAUGCUCGAAAGUGUGGGUAUCAAACAGGAUUAGAUACCCUGGUAGUCCACACAGUAAACGAUGAAUACUCGCUGUUUGCGAUAUACAGUAAGCGGCCAAGCGAAAGCAUUAAGUAUUCCACCUGGGGAGUACGCCGGCAACGGUGAAACUCAAAGGAAUUGACGGGGGCCCGCACAAGCGGAGGAACAUGUGGUUUAAUUCGAUGAUACGCGAGGAACCUUACCCGGGCUUAAAUUGCAUUUGAAUAAUCUGGAAACAGGUUAGCCGCAAGGCAAAUGUGAAGGUGCUGCAUGGUUGUCGUCAGCUCGUGCCGUGAGGUGUCGGCUUAAGUGCCAUAACGAGCGCAACCCUUAUCUUUAGUUACUAACAGGUCAUGCUGAGGACUCUAGAGAGACUGCCGUCGUAAGAUGUGAGGAAGGUGGGGAUGACGUCAAAUCAGCACGGCCCUUACGUCCGGGGCUACACACGUGUUACAAUGGGGGGUACAGAAGGCAGCUACCUGGCGACAGGAUGCUAAUCCCAAAAACCUCUCUCAGUUCGGAUCGAAGUCUGCAACACGACUUCGUGAAGCUGGAUUCGCUAGUAAUCGCGCAUCAGCCAUGGCGCGGUGAAUACGUUCCCGGGCCUUGUACACACCGCCCGUCAAGCCAUGAAAGCCGGGGGUACCUGAAGUACGUAACCGCAAGGAGCGUCCUAGGGUAAAACUGGUAAUUGGGGCU